rnacentral:tRNA from 2 species
AGUGUGUUAACUUAAUUGGUUAAGUAUAGUACUACGGAUACUAAAAUUAUGAGUUCGAAUCUCAUACACAUUU